CAGCAGCCGCGGGAAAACGUAGGUGGCAAGCGUUGUCCGGAAUUAUUGGGCGUAAAGGGCUCGCAGGCGGUUUCUUAAGUCAGAUGUGAAAGCCCCCGGCUCAACCGGGGAGGGUCAUUGGAAACUGGGAAACUUGAGUGCAGAAGAGGAGAGUGGAAUUCCACGUGUAGCGGUGAAAUGCGUAGAGAUGUGGAGGAACACCAGUGGCGAAGGCGACUCUCUGGUCUGUAACUGACGCUGAGGAGCGAAAGCGUGGGGAGCGAACAGGAUUAGAGACCCCAGUAGUCCCUGUCUCUUAUAC
rnacentral:rRNA from 1 species